GUCCAGCUCACCAGUCGCAAAUAAGAUGAAACGCGCGUCCUGGAU
rnacentral:hammerhead_ribozyme from 1 species